ensembl:ncRNA C54E10.9 ncRNA
CCAAUGGCGCAGUGGGAUUUUCGCCGUCUUCCAAUCACAAGACCGGGGUUCGAGUCCCCACUGUGGCAAAACUUUUU